rnacentral:rRNA from 1 species
GCCGCUCCUUGCGGUGACGGACUUCAGGUGCUUCCAGCUUCCAUGGCUUGACGGGCGGUGUGUACAAGGCCCGGGAACGUAUUCACCGGAUCAUGGCUGAUAUCCGAUUACUAGCGAUUCCAGCUUCACGGGGUCGAGUUGCAGACCCCGAUCCGAACUGAGACAGGUUUUGUGGAUUCGCUCCUGCUUGCGCAGUGGCUGCCCAUUGUACCUGCCAUUGUAGCACGUGUGUGGCCCAGGACGUAAGGGCCGUGAUGAUUUGACGUCAUCCCCACCUUCCUCACGGUUUGCACCGGCAGUCUUGUUAGAGUUCCCGACAUGACUCGCUGGCAACUAACAACAGGGGUUGCGCUCGUUAUAGGACUUAACCUGACACCUCACGGCACGAGCUGACGACAACCAUGCAGCACCUUGUAAUCUGUCCGAAGAAGGAUCUGUUUCCAAAUCUGUCAGACUACAUUUAAGCCCUGGUAAGGUUCCUCGCGUAUCAUCGAAUUAAACCACAUGCUCCACCGCUUGUGCGGGCCCCCGUCAAUUCCUUUGAGUUUCAUUCUUGCGAACGUACUCCCCAGGUGGGAUACUUAUCACUUUCGCUUGGCCACCCAGCACACCAAUGUGCGCCGGACAGCUAGUAUCCAUCGUUUACGGCGUGGACUACCAGGGUAUCUAAUCCUGUUCGCUCCCCACGCUUUCGUCCAUCAGCGUCAAUACGUUGUUAGUGACCUGCCUUCGCAAUCGGUAUUCUAUGUAAUAUCUAAGCAUUUCACCGCUACACUACAUAUUCUAGCCACUUCACAACGAUUCAAGACGACCAGUAUCAAUGGCAGUUCUACAGUUGAGCUGCAGAAUUUCACCACUGACUUAGACGUCCGCCUACGGACCCUUUAAACCCAAUGAUUCCGGAUAACGCUCGGACCCUCCGUAUUACCGCGGCUGCUGGCACGGAGUUAGCCCGGUCCUUAUUCGUACGGUACCGUCAAGCCUCUACACGUAGAAGUGGUUUCUUCCCGUAAAAAAGCA